AUUGAACGCUGGCGGCAUGCCUUACACAUGCAAGUCGAACGGCAGCACGGGAGCAAUCCUGGUGGCGAGUGGCGAACGGGUGAGUAAAGUAUCGGAACGUGUCCAGUCGUGGGGGAUAACGUAGCGAAAGUUACGCUAAUACCGCAUACGAUCUAUGGAAGAAAGCGGGGUAUCGCAAGACCUCGCGCGAUUGGAGCGGCCGAUAUCAGAUGAGGUAGUUGGUGGGGUAAAGGCUCACCAAGCCGACGAUCUGUAGCUGGUCUGAGAGGACGACCAGCCACACUGGGACUGAGACACGGCCCAGACUCCUACGGGAGGCAGCAGUGGGGAAUUUUGGACAAUGGGCGAAAGCCUGAUCCAGCCAUGCCGUGUGCAGGAUGAAGGCCUUCGGGUUGUAAACUGCUUUUGUACGGAACGAAAAGGUUUGGCCUAAUAAGCUGAGCUCAUGACGGUACCGUAAGAAUAAGCACCGGCUAACUACGUGCCAGCCGCCGCGGUAA
rnacentral:rRNA from 1 species